rnacentral:lncRNA from 1 species
AUAGAGGGGAAAAAAAUACAUGUUGCCAAUUUAAAUAUUGAUUGAAGAUUAUUUUUUUAUUUCCUAAAGGCUCUGUCCCUCCAUGGAUUAACAGGUAGAAGAAAAAUUGUGACUGGCACUGUAUGAAUAUUCAUUUUAGUGAAGAGAUGAUGUUAUACCAUCACAAUUUCCUACACGAUUCGAUUACAGAAAAUGAGAAAAAUCUCACUCAAAUGAGAAAAAUCUCAUUUUCAUGCAAAAUAAAGUAAAUCUGUUUUCUCUCUAUAGAUCUCCCAAAAUGGGAAAUUAUGUCUACUAUGACAUAUUUCAGGGUUAUAUUUUCAACUACAUUUGCCAAAAAUUUUAUUUUUCUUGAUUUCAUCUUUAUGAUUUGUGUGACCUGAUGACAUCAUCACUUCACUCAAAUGAAUAUUCAUAUUGACUGGUCAAGAAGUGUUUUCCGAAUCAUAACUUCCAUCUUUUCAUGAUUUUUGUAACAUUUUGUAGGGAAUAUUUUUUUUUCCUUUUUAUGAAUCCAGUUAUUUGGGCCUGGAGUUCUUUAUUAAUUCUAAGUUAAAGAGGAAAAAAAAAGGGGGGGGAGUGACAUAUGAUAUGUUACUUUACAGUUGACAUACACUGUAUAACUAGAUGUUCAUGUAGAGCAUUUCAUGAUCCUCUUUUGACAGAGUCAGAGACGUAACCGCCGCAUCUCACCCUACCAUAUAGCGGAGAGGUGGUGCGGCCUUGGAGAAGAUCAGGAGGGAUUUAAAAAAAAAAUUAUCAACGAUGACAUAGGACAUGGACUUGUGACAAAUAAACCCUUUUUAAAGGGAGAUUUCCUCCUGGAAUAUCGUGGAAUAUUGUCCAUUGCUGAUGAUCAGGAUGAUGAGAAUGCGGAUUAUGUUUUCCACUUCUCGCAUAAAAGUACCGAGUAUCGGAUUGAUGCAUCAGAUAGCAAUUCUUGCCUCGCUAGGUGGGUCAACGAUGAUCAUGUGCAUCCAAAUAGCAUCAUGAAAAAGGUUGCAUUUGAUAAUAACUCCCCACAUUUGUGCUUGUUUGCUUUGGUGGACCUUAAAGAAGGUGUGGAACUAACAUACGACUAUGGAGUAAAGAAUUUACCUUGGCGGCAGCCCAGUCUGGAAAAGGAAAAGAACAUACCAUCUUCGAGCUCUCAAAUGAGAGGGAUGGACCUCCUGGGUCUAUGGAGCCAAAAAGUAGCCAUCCUGUUGCAAAAAGGUCAAAAGCGGAACGCAUUACCUGGACAGCAGCACAACACCAUGCUGUAGACACAUUUUCAAAAGAAAUUACAGGACAUUCCGAAUUCCAGGGAAAGAAGAAUGUGAGGAAUGUAGAAAUAAGUAUCCUGAACUUGCAACACUACCCUGGACUAAGAUUAAAUACAGGGUUUAUAACAUUAUUAAACAAAACAAACUAAAAUCCUAUUGAAUCCAUCUUACCUCAAUGAAGAAAAGUGUACACACACACAUGUAUGUAUAUAAAUAUGAUUUAUUGCACUCCAUGCAAAUCAUGAGGUUUGAUUCAAUCACAAGCAAAAACAAAUAAAUGAAUAAAAUGAUAAUAAUUCAAUUGUAUACUAUGCAAACAUUCAAAUAAUUUAUAUAAAUGUCAGAUAAUACAAAGCAAAAAGGUUUGUAAUUAAUAUGGAUCACCUUGAUAAAAGUUAUAGCUGCAAGAAUGGUAAUUUGUAUAACUGCUGUUGAAUUGUCAAACCAUGAACAAACUUUCUACACACAAUCGGAAAUUGCACUUGAGAAGAAAAAAAACGAUACAAUAAAUUCAUUGCUGAAAUAAAACAAACAUAAACAUUCCUUUAUAAGAAAUAUGGAUGUGAUUGACAUUCAAUCUGCAUCGUACAGCAUGGACUGCAAUGUAUUAUAACAAAGAGAAUAUGCGUGUGUGUCAGCAUUUCUUUUAUAAGCAAAGUGUAUAAAGGUGGAAAGUGUGCACAUGUGCAGAAUACUCCAUCCACAUUUUAUAGCUGUACUGUGCAUUACUUGAAAUUAAUAUUUUUUCCUGACCUAUUUGAUUUCUAUCCCAAGUUAUGUGUAAGAGAUCAAAAUAAAUAUUCCAUAUUUCCACGAUAUUCCAGGAGGAAAUCUCCCUUUGAAAAGGGUUUAUUUGUCACAGGUCCAUGUCCUAAAACUGGAGAAGGAAAAUAUUUUGUUAAAGUUAAAAAAAAAAGUAAAAAAAAAAAAAAACCUUAUGGCAAAAUACCAUGUAAUCAUGGUCAUACGAAGCAAAUGUGUGUGUGUGUGGGGGGGGGGGGUUACCUCCAGAAAAUGCUUAAAAUUGACGUUUCUUUUUAUUACUGAAUGUCUGCACAAUCGACCACAACCAAAUCUUUCAAUAUCACAUUAACAAAUGCAGAAACAUGCUGCUAAUUUAAGGAUUUUUUACAAUCUUAGUGAUUAUAUUCAUUUUGAAAAUUCUGUGUUUAAUGAUCGAUAAAUGAUCACAAUGAUCAGACUUUGUGUAGAUUAUCAUUUAAGAAAAAUGAAGAGGUGAUUUCUGAGAUUUUGUACAUGUAAGAGAAAAGUUAUUUAUGCAUUAUGAAUGACUAACUGCAUGUAUGUCAAGUUCCUGUUGUCAGUGUUGAGUUUUAUUAAAAACAAAUCUUUGAAAAUGA